GCGGGCUUCCUGCGGCCCUGGAAGAAAGCGGUGCUUUCCCGAGGCGCGGCUCGCGCCCUCUCCCCUGUCCCUUAGGCCCGGGCCCAGUCCAGAACCGCGUCCCGGGAGCCGCCCGCUCCCAGGGGCUCAUCCUUGGCCGCCUUCCGCGCCUCUUUCUCCGGAGACCACGCUCCGACCAGGCCGUGGCGGGCACAGUGCCUUCUUUGGCUUCUGCUCCGUCGGGCCUACAAUGCUAAAGAAAAAUAAAAUCAUGAAAUUUGCGGGGAAAAGAAUGGACCUGGAAAGGAUUACACUUAGUGAGUAACCCAGGUCCAGAAACCCAAUCAUCACAAGGCCUCUCGUAUAUGGAUGCCAGCUACAAAUGUGUGGAUUCAUAUGCCAUUGCUGAGGCUCUUGGUUUCCCAAGGAAUAGAUGGUAAGACCCUACUGCUGAAGAC